rnacentral:rRNA from 1 species
AGCUCCAAUAGCGUAUAUUAAAGUUGUUGCAGUUAAAAAGCUCGUAGUUGGAUUUCUGGUAGGGCAGGCCUGGUCCGCCCCGAUAAGGAGGUGAGUACCGGUGCCCGUCUGCCAUCCUUCUAGGGAGUGUACCUACCCUUGAUUGGGCCGGGUGCUCGACCUGGAUCGUUUACUUUGAAGAAAUUAGAGUGUUUAAAGCAGGCUCAUCGCUUUGAAUAUAUUAGCAUGGAAUAAUAAGAUAGGACUCUGAUCCUAUUUUGUUGGUUUCUAGGAUGAGAGUAAUGAUUAACAGGGACAGUUGGGGGUGCUGGUACUUAACGGCCAGAGGUGAAAUUCUUUGAUUCGUUAAAGACCAACUUAUGCGAAAGCAUUCACCAAGGAUGUCUUCAUUAAUCAAGAA